rnacentral:rRNA from 1 species
GUGGGGAAUAUUGCGCAAUGGGCGGAAGCCUGACGCAGCGACGCCGCGUGGGGGAUGACGGCCUUCGGGUUGUAAACCUCUUUCGCCAGGGACGAAGCGUGAGUGACGGUACCUGGAUAAGAAGCACCGGCCAACUACGUGCCAGCAGCCGCGGUAACACGUAGGGUGCGAGCGUUGUCCGGAAUUAUUGGGCGUAAAGAGCUCGUAGGCGGUCUGUCGCGUCGGUCGUGAAAACCUGCAGCUUAACUGUGGGCUUGCGGUCGAUACGGGCAUGACUGGAGUUCGGCAGGGGAGACUGGAAUUCCUGGUGUAGCGGUGAAAUGCGCAGAUAUCAGGAGGAACACCGGUGGCGAAGGCGGGUCUCUGGGCCGAUACUGACGCUGAGGAGCGAAAGCGUGGGGAGCGAACAGGAUUAGAUACCCCAGUAGUCC